GCCUGGGUGGCUCAGUCAGUUGAGUGUCUGACUUCAGCUCAGGUCAUGAUCUCACAGCUCGUGAGUUCAAACCUUGCAUCGGGCU
rnacentral:tRNA from 1 species